rnacentral:rRNA from 1 species
UGGGGGAAUUUUUGGGACAAUGGGCGAAAGCCUGAUCCAGCAAUGCCGCGUGUGUGAAGAAGGCCUUCGGGUUGUAAAGCACUUUUGUCCGGAAAGAAAUCCUUGGCUCUAAUACAGUCGGGGGAUGACGGUACCGGAAGAAUAAGCACCGGCUAACUACGUGCCAGCAGCCGCGGUAAUACGUAGGGUGCAAGCGUUAAUCGGAAUUACUGGGCGUAAAGCGUGCGCAGGCGGUUUGCUAAGACCGAUGUGAAAUCCCCGGGCUCAACCUGGGAACUGCAUUGGUGACUGGCAGGCUAGAGUAUGGCAGAGGGGGGUAGAAUUCCACGUGUAGCAGUGAAAUGCGUAGAGAUGUGGAGGAAUACCGAUGGCGAAGGCAGCCCCCUGGGCCAAAUACUGACGCUCAUGCACG